AUUUGUGUAAUAUAAUUAUUAUAAUUGACUUCCAAUCAAUAAAUCUACGUGUAGUACAAAUA
rnacentral:tRNA from 1 species